CUAGGCUACUCAGAUAAUAAAUAGAUCUAUGCAUAUAUCACAUAUAUCAAAUCUAGUUUACUGCAUGCUGAAUUUUAAUCUAAAAUAAUUUUACAUCUAACCAAACAUACAAUAUUCAGAUCUAAUCUAAAUUUUUUUAGAUCUGAUUACUUUUCAGAUCUCAUCUGAAUUAGAUCUGAUCCAAUUUAAAUCUAAAAUCCGAACAAUCUAGCUCUGAUACCAAUUGAAGGAUCGGAUUGCACAUUGGAUC
rnacentral:lncRNA from 1 species